UGUCUUUAUUGUCUCCUUCCAUUCUCUCUCUCUCUUUCCGCACAGUGCCCGCUGCCUUCCCUUCGUACCAUUGUGCCGGCGACUACGCCGUCGCCGCCUUGCCUAGCUGGUGAGGCUCCCUUCUAUCUCUCUCCAUCCGUUUUGCUCACUCUCCCUUUCUCCGAGGCUGAGCUCGUGUUCUUCAACGGUUCCAGACCAUUUCGCUCGUGCCCAUUCUAACUCUGGAUAUGGCCAUCAUUUGGUUCCAGAAACAUUUGGGCUUCUUUGCUUUUUCGACACAACCAAGAUCUUUUAUUUCGAAAUGCCGGAGAACGAAUUCCAAGAAGAUUUGUUCGGUCAUGGCACCGCAACUGUCGGAACGCCUUCCACCACUAGCUCGGUUGGCUCCAAUCAUUUUGUGUGAUCGAGUUUUUGUUUUGGGUUAAUGGGUUUGAUUGUUUUAUGGAAUUUAAUGGCGGGAUUUUGGCUAAUUACAAGUGAAGAUUGGGAUGACGAUGACUGAGAAGAUACUGGCUAGGGCUUCUGAGAAAACCUAGUUGACCCUUGGUGAGAAUGUUUGGGUUAACAUUGACGUUCUAAUGACCCAUGAUGUUUGUGGCCCUGGUUCAAUGGGAAUCAGACAGAUUACUUCUUAACUGAUAUGCUCUCCAUCAUUUGAAUUUUUCUGACAGCCAGAUUUAUUCACAUCAAGUCCACAUGAUAUAGAUUCAAGUUUAACUAGCAUCAAAUUUUUCUUAGUUGCAUAUAGCAAAUAUGCUGCAGAUUUACUGAACUUCUUAGCAUUUCGUUUCACAAGUUUGUUUCCAUUAUAAUGAGAUUACAGAAUAUCUUCAUGAGAUAUAUUGGCAAUGAAAUUUAUAAUGAGUCCAGAUGUUAACGACAUAAUUCUUCAUAAAACAUUCCAUGUAGCUAUGAUAUAAUUAAGUAAUAUAUUCAUUUUUGUGAUAUGUCUAAGUUUGGGACAAUUUAGAAGCAAAAAUGUACGAGUCAUUUAUAAAUGACUUUUUCACUGAUUUUAAAAAUUAUUUUUGGAAAACCAAAGAAUUGUUCGUGUAGAAUCCUGGAUCAUAAUUCUAAAAAGAGCCUUGGCUCAAGAUGAUUCUGCAUGAUAAAGGCAAAGAGAGUGAAACUAUAAUUCAAUGGUACUGUGUUUUGGUGGGGGUUGACCGUAAGGAUUGUGCCUUUUCUCUUUUGUCUUGAUGCUACAUGCUGAAAGUUUGCCUUUAGUAUUUGAGUCAAACGAAUGUCUGCUGGUCUUUCAAUUUUAUCUGUGCUUCACUUUCCACUAAUGCUCUUGUAAAGAUCGGCAUGUGUUCCCAUUUGAGUUCUUUCAGCAAUUUCGAGCAUCAAACUGAAGAUAGCAGAACUCCAUGAGAGUAAGUCCAGCUUGAUACACUUCUAUCUUCCAGUUCCCUUUAAAACUUCUCAGCAUCUUCUAUAAAGCCAUACCAGGCAAGAAAAUACUGAAGUUCUAGUAAGUUUAUAUCAUUCCUUCCCGAUCUAAAGCUAAUAUCUUAACUUCACUGGAUGUGGCUUGGAUGUCUAGUGGCAGAAAACUGUUAAGUACUGAAUUGUGUGUGUGUUAGGCUAACUUUUCAGGCUAACCCAGAUUACGAAGGUGUAUGUCAUAUUGCUCUGCGCAAGAUGGUCAGUGUAGACCUGGAGAAUUUGUGAAAAGCUUGUUGGAAUUUCCCACAUAUGCAAGUGUUUUUCAGCAGGUAAAUGCUUCCUGGAAUUUGUAUGUUUUCUCUCAGUUCUUGCUGGACAGAUUUUCAGUAUGUAAAUGCCUGAUGGAACUUGUUACGUUCUCUCUUAUGUAAGAAAUACUACUACUAUAAUUAGUAUUAUUACUAAUUAUUAUUUAAAGAUCACUUGUAAAAAAAAAAAAAAAAAAAGGUCUUUUAAUAAAAAAAAAUCAUUUCCCCUUGGUGUUGGAUGUGGUUGGAGGGGAUACCUACAUGUCGGUUUGGUGUAUUCAUAUUACAUUUUUGGAGUUGGAGAAAUCGAUUUUGGCAACACGGUCAACAUCAAUUUCACACAUUUCUAAUUCAUGUUUUCCUUUUGAAUAUAAUCAUUUAUAUGUUUAGUAAUGUUGCAUUUAGAUGUCUUUUUGAGCUUAUCAUUGAACAUAUAAGCUUCUUUGUGAGUAAGUUCAAUUUUAAAAUGAUCAAAUAACAAUUGGGGCAUAGUAUAAUAUAUAAUGUUUUUUCCCUCCUGCAUCUUGACCCAUCGGUGCAUUUUUCCAUGGUUUAGUACUUGUGCUUAUUUGUUUUUUUGUCCUUUCUUUUGAAAUAUUUACCUAGAAAUUGUUCUGUAUUCCACUAUCUUUUAUUUGAAUUUCCAACUGCUUGUUAAAAAGUAGGCCUGGAGAGGUUGGCUGAGAUUUAUAGGGUCCACUCCAGUUAUUGUACUUUUUUUUUUUUAGUCUGUGAGCUUAGUGUAUUUGUAAUAUAUUGUUCAUAUUUUUUUGUGUUUUAGCUAGGUAUAAGGUUGUGACUACUAAUAUUUUUUUUUAAUUUCGUAAAAUUAUUUCCGGUGAUUUAACAUUCAUGAAAAUAAUGGCAAAUAUAUAUUUACAACGAUUUUCAUCACGGUAGAUAAGCAUUUGCCCCCAGAAUUAUUUUUGGUGGCAAAUGCAUAUUUGCGGAGAUUAAAAUUGCGGCAACUUGGCAUUUUCAACCAAAACUCUAACCAUUAUGCCUUACCUUUUCCUGUGAAAAAAAAAAAAAA